ensembl:lncRNA
CAUCAGGCAUACUGGGAGUCCAGAGUCCCUGACUUCUUGGACCUCAACCAGCAAAAAAGACUAUGAACACCUAAGCAAACAGAAAUGAGAAACUCCAAGGAUAUGGAAAGAUGCUAUAAAAAAUUAAAUAGGGUAAUGAGAUAGAUAACAGCCUGUGUGGGGGUAGGCGCUAUGUGAACCUAGCUUUGAAUGAUGAGAAUAAACUAGACAGACAUUCGGGGAUGUAGGAAAGAGUGUUCCAGGCAGAGGUGUGGGAUGUGCAAAUGUCCUGAGGCAGGAAUGAGCAUGGGCUGGGAGGAGCUGACAGAGAUGGGCAAUUGCGAAUCCCCUAGGGCCUCACAGGCCGUGAUAAGGAGCUUGGAUUUUUUUUGGGGGGGGGUGGUAGAAGCAUAACAUAUGAUCAUUUUUUUAAAUUAGAGUAUAGGUGAUUUACAGUGUUGUGUCAGUUUCUGCUCUACAGCAUAGUGACCCAGUCAUACACAGGUAUACAUUCUUUUUCUCAUAUUAUCCUCCAUCAUGGUCGAUCCCAAGAGACUGGGUAUGGUUCCCUGUGCUGUACAGUAGGACCUCAUUGCUUAUCCCUGCUGCAGGGAAUAGUUUGUACCUACUAACCCCAAACUCCCAUCCAUCCCACUCCCUCCCCAUCCCCCUUGGAAACCACAAGUCUGUCCAUGACUGUGAAUCUGUUUCUGUUCUAUAGCUAAGUUUAUCUGUGCUGUAUGUUAGACUCCACAUAUAAGUGAUAUUAUAUGGUCCUUGUCUUUCUCUUUCUGACUGACUUCACUUAGUAUGAGAAUGUACAAUAGAAUACCCCUCAGCCAUAAAAAAGAACACAAAUAAUGCCAUUUGCAGCAAAGUGGAUACAAGUAGGAGCUUGGAUUUUAUUUUAAUUAUAGAAGAACACAUGAGGCUUAUGGGAUACUGUGUGUAAAUAGUCGUACAGUGCCUGGCGCCUGCACUAAGUCCCCUAAAUGGCAGCUGUUGGUGGCAUUAUUUAUUUACAGUUAUUCUUUAUUUGAGCAUUCAUUUCCCAGACCUCUGGUGUACCUGCCAUGAAGCUCAAAAGUUACCUUUUCUCUCCAUCAUAAAUGACCCAAGGAGAAGUUACAGCUCAAAGAACCAUGAAGAGUUGGCGUGAGGCAAACACCUAGAAAUGGAGGCUCAUCACAGUCCACGGCCGCCAGUGAUGCGCAGCCCAUGAAAUUUGUCUGGAGUUUAAAAGUCUGUUCUUACACCAGGUUCUCUGGAAAAUUAGCUUUACCCUGAACCCUCCCACUGUUCAGGCCAGCCAAAUGGAGGUAAAACAGGGCCUCAGGGAGCUCCCGUCGUGGCUCAGUGGGUUAAGAACCCCACUAGGAUCCAUGAGGAUUCGGGUUCAAUCCCCCGGCCUCGCUCAGUAGAUUUAGGAUCCGACGUUGCUGUGGCUUUAGGGUAGGCCUGCAGCUGCAGCUCCGAUUUGACCUCUAGCCUCGGAGGCCUUAGAAAACAAACAAACAAACAAAAACCUCAGGAGAAGGGACCCUGACUUAGAAAUCUACAGGGAUUACAGAAGGAGAGUAGCUUCCCCCGCCUCCAGCUGUCAUUCAAAACUCAGUAAAUAUCCUCUGCCAAUAACUUCCAGUCCCCUGGGGCCCAGAUGACAUGUAUAAAUAUCUCUUCUCCGUGUGGUAUCCAAAGGCUGAGUCAAUAAGCUUAAUUUCCUAUGGAUUCCUCUGUGUGGUUGCCGCAGCCUAGGAAAUUGAUCAGAUCAAGGCUGCGUACUCCAGGGAGGACAGUUUGUGUUUCAAGUAGUGGGACAUGGUGGCCGGAAGGCCAGCCAGCCGGGUGGGAUCUUACCUAAUCCCGCUUCGCCCUCGCCCUCUGCUGGGGCGCCACCCAGGUAUGGCUGUGACUUCCCAACCCUCUUGUGGCAACUUUGCAAGUCGCCAUCGCAUUCCCUUUGGCCCCGUGUCAGAACCAAAAAAAUCUUGAUUUAAUCCAGUCGUAAGAAUCUUGUAGGGUCAUCUCAGGGCCCAAUCUUCUGAUUUGAGUCCAUCCAGAGCAAUUGGAUAUAAAGGUCAAGGGUCCUGGUCUUGAAGGGAGACCUGGGAUUUGCCAACAGGUUGGUGACCUCGUGAGGUUCCCUUUCCUAACCUAGGGUUCACUCUGCGUCUACCUCAUGGGGUUCACUUAUUCUCCAGAAUGUAUU